rnacentral:rRNA from 1 species
GACGAACGCUGGCGGCGUGCUUAACACAUGCCAGUCGAACGAAGAGCGAUGGAAGCUUGCUUCUAUCAAUCUUAGUGGCGAACGGGUGAGUAACGCGUAAUCAACCUGCCCUUCAGAGGGGGACAACAGUUGGAAACGACUGCUAAUACCGCAUACGAUCUAACCUCGGCAUCGAGGAAAGAUGAAAGGUGGCCUCUAUGUAUAAGCUAUCACUGAAGGAGGGGAUUGCGUCUGAUUAGCUAGUUGGAGGGGUAACGGCCCACCAAGGCGAUGAUCAGUAGCCGGUCUGAGAGGAUGAACGGGCACAUUGGGACUGAGACACGGCCCAGACUCCUACGGGAGGCAGCAGUGGGGAAUCUUCCGCAAUGGACGAAAGUCUGACGGAGCAACGCCGCGUGAGUGAUGACGGCCUUCGGGUUGUAAAGCUCUGUUAAUCGGGACGAAAGGCCUUCUUGCGAAUAGGGAGAAGGAUUGACGGUACCGGAAGAGAAAGCCACGGCUAACUACGUG